AGCGAACGCUGGCGGCAGGCUUAACACAUGCAAGUCGAACGGGCAUCUUCGGAUGUCAGUGGCAGACGGGUGAGUAACACGUGGGAACGUACCCUUCGGUUCGGAAUAACUCAGGGAAUCUUGAGCUAAUACCGGAUACGCCCUUUUGGGGAAAGGUUUACUGCCGAAGGAUCGGCCCGCGUCUGAUUAGCUUGUUGGUGGGGUAACGGCCUACCAAGGCGACGAUCAGUAGCUGGUCUGAGAGGAUGAUCAGCCACACUGGGACUGAGACACGGCCCAGACUCCUACGGGAGGCAGCAGUGGGGAAUAUUGGACAAUGGGCGCAAGCCUGAUCCAGCCAUGCCGCGUGAGUGAUGAAGGCCUUAGGGUUGUAAAGCUCUUUUGUCCGGGACGAUAAUGACGGUACCGGAAGAAUAAGCCCCGGCUAACUUCGUG
rnacentral:rRNA from 1 species